rnacentral:misc_RNA from 1 species
GAAAUGCGAUAAGUAAUGUGAAUUGCAGAAUUCAGUGAAUCAUCGAAUCUUUGAACGCACAUUGCGCCCGCCAGCACUCUGGCGGGCAUGCCUGUUCGAGCGUCAUUUCAACCCUCAGAACCCCUUGCGGGAUCUGGCGUUGGGGAUUGGCAUCCAGUCAGCCCCGAAAUCUAGUGGCGGUCCCUCCGCGACCUCCCCUGUGCAGUAGCGAUACCUCGCAGCGGGACAGCGGUCUGACCACGCCGUAAAACCCCCAACUUCUCAAGGUUGACCUCGAAUCAGGUAGGAAUACCCGCUGAACUUAAGC